UUCUAUAGCAUGCAAAACGUGAUUUGCGCUGAGAUGAACAUAUAUGUUCAUGACGCGAGUAAUUUUCACUUUUCACUGAUCCAAAGGAGGUCACGUGGGAUUGCUUGACGGUUGCGAAAUUAACAGCAAUGAAAAUGGCGAAACGAAACUUGUGAAUCGUGCAUUUGCUCUUCAUGGUAGCUGCCAGAAAAUCGAAUCAAACUCAUGGGACACUGGAUUACAGGUUGCUGCCACUACUCCAUGUGCCCGCAAUUGUCUUGCGUGUAUGAUUACACUAACGACGUCGCCCACCACGGCGGAAGUGUUUUGCGUACACGCGUUUCAGCAUGAAGCCUGCAGGUGGACGUAAAUUGUAGAAGGCAGCUAGUGGGGGAGAAGAUCAUGGUCAUAGGUCAUGUGGCUCCUGGAGCUCCCAGUGGGCUCCCUUGUGGAGUACUUUUCAGAACACGCACACAGUUCGCUCACAGAACCAACGAGUAGGAUGUUGCUUGAAUACUGAGAGAAAAUGGCGUAAAUAUCGUGUGACACAUAUUACAAUAAAAACAUUUUUCACGAGGGAUGCAUGAAACACUGUCGCAAUAUUGUGUGCAUGAACUAUUGUGUGUGACACAAGCUGUGGGGGCACACCGCCUCGGACACAUUUUGGGAAGCAUAAAACACAGUAUAUACACAGCUAAUAUGGUGGAUGCUUCCUUUUUUCUUUUUGGCCGUUAUGAGACAUCUUCGGCCGUAAUGAGACUACCUUCGGCCGUAUUGAGACUUUGGCCGUAACGAGACACUUGGGGAUUAAAGGAUUUUCGGCCGUAAUGAGACUUUCGGCCGUAAUGAGACUUGGGCCGUAAUGAGACUUCGGCCGUAAUGAGAUGUUACCCGCCAGGACACUCGAAUAGUACGACGGAAGAUGAAAGUCACUGAAAAGGUUAAGCCAGCUGUAGGAAUCGAUCCCACAUCUUCUGGAUGUGGGCUCGAGUCCAACAGCUGGCUAACAUUUUCAGUGACUUUCAUCUUCCGUCGUUCAUUUCUUAGGCAAUUUGAGGCUUUGUAUGUGUUUGUCCUUUCUAUGUUGUUCCAGCCUCAGAACAUCAGUUCUCUCUUGCUCACGCGAAUAGUUCCAAGGGUGGCCGGCGCGCACGGUUGUGACGCUUCAGUCGCUGCAGUGUUUACAUAAUACGGGGAGCUCUAUUGAUGUUGUUUGUUGCUGUCAUUGUUGAUGCUGUGAUCGGAGUCAUUGCUGUGUUCAAAAUUUCUACAAAUUAAAAAAUCUAAAAUGAUAGUGUCUUGGACGCCAAAAAGGGUUGAAAUAAAGAACUGCGGUCAA